UAAGACUUGCAGGGCACUAACCUACAUCUUUUGAAUGCAACUCAAACAUUUAAUUAAAAUAAAGUCUU
rnacentral:tRNA from 1 species